rnacentral:rRNA from 1 species
UACGAAGGGUCCAAGCGUUGUUCGGAAUCAUUGGGCGUAAAGAGCUCGUAGGCGGCUUGUCGCGUCGACUGUGAAAAACCCGUGGCUCAACUGCGGGCCUGCAGUCGAUACGGGCAGGCUAGAGUUCGGUAGGGGAGACUGGAAUUCCUGGUGUAGCGGUGAAAUGCGUAGAGAUGUGGAGGAAUACCGAUGGCGAAGGCAGCCCCCUGGGAUAACACUGACGCUCAUGCACGAAAAGCGUGGGGGAGCAAACAGG